GAUGAACGCUGGCGGCGUGCCUAAUACAUUCAAGUUGAGCGAACAGACGAGGAGCUUGCUCCUCUGACGUUAGCGGCGGAUGUGUGAGUAACACGUGGAUAACCUACCUAUAAGACUGGGAUAACUUCGGGAAACCGGAGCUAAUACCGGAUAAUAUAUUGAACCGCAUGGUUCAAUAGUGAAAGACGGUUUUGCUGUCACUUAUAGAUGGAUCCGCGCCGCAUUAGCUAGUUGGUAAGGUAACGGCUUACCAAGGCGACGAUGCGUAGCCGACCUGAUAGGGUGAUCGACCACACUAGAACUGAGACACGGUCCACACUCCGACGGGAGGCAGCAGUAGGAGAUCUGCCGCAAUGGGCGAAAGCCUGACGGAGCAACGCCGCGUGAGUGAUGAAAGUCUUCGGAUCGUAAGACUCUGUUAUUAGGGAAGAACAAAUGUGUAAGUAACUAUGCACGUCUGGACGGUACCUAAUCAGAAAGGCACGGCUAACUACGUG
rnacentral:rRNA from 1 species